AAAGGAAUAGACGGGGGCCCGCACAAGCAGCGGAGCAUGUGGUUUAAUUCGAAGCAACGCGAAGAACCUUACCAGGGCUUGACAUCCACAGAAUGCUGUAGAGAUACGGCAGUGUCCCGUAAGGGAAGCUGUGAGACAGGUGGUGCAUGGUUGUCGCCAGCUCGUGUCGUGAGAUGUUGGGUUAAGUCCCGCAACGAGCGCAACCCUUAUCAUUAGUUGCUAACAUGUAAAGGUGAGCACUUUAAUGAGACUGCCGUGGAGAACACGGAGGAAGGUGGGGAUGACGUCAAAUCAUCAUGCCCCUUAUGUCCUGGGCUACACACGUGCUACAAUGGCCGGAACAAAGGGCAGCUAAGGAGCAAUUCGGAGCAAAUCCCAAAAACCCGGUCUUAGUUCGGAUUGUGGGCUGCAACCCGCCCACAUGAAGCAGGAGUUGCUAGUAAUCGCGGAUCAGCGAUGCCGCGGUGAAUGCGUUCCCGGGCCUUGUACACACCGCCCGU
rnacentral:rRNA from 1 species